UACAGAGGUCCCAAGCGUUGUUCGGAUUCACUGGGCGUAAAGGGUGCGUAGGUGGCGCCGUAAGUCGGGUGUGAAAUUUCGGAGCUUAACUCCGAAACUGCAUUCGAUACUGCGGUGCUUGAGGACUGGAGAGGAGACUGGAAUUCAUGGUGUAGCAGUGAGAUGCGUAGAGAUCAUGAGGAAGACCAGUGGCGAAGGCGGGUCUCUGGACAGUUCCUGACACUGAGGCACGAAGGCCAGGGGAGCAAACGGG
rnacentral:rRNA from 1 species